rnacentral:lncRNA from 1 species
CGGCACCCCCAUCAAGGUGGGCUCCUUCGGCGAGGGCCGCAUCACCAUGCGCAAGACCGCGGCCAAGCCCAAGGUGGCGGCGUCCGGCAGUCCCUGGUACGGGCCCGACCGCGUCAAGUACCUCGGCCCCUUCUCCGGCGAGCCCCCGAGCUACCUCACCGGCGAGUUCCCCGGCGACUACGGCUGGGACACCGCGGGGCUGUCGGCCGACCCCGAGACCUUCGCCAAGAACCGCGAGCUGGAGGUGAUCCACUCCCGCUGGGCCAUGCUGGGCGCGCUCGGCUGCGUCUUCCCCGAGCUGCUCGCCCGCAACGGCGUCAAGUUCGGCGAGGCCGUCUGGUUCAAGGCCGGCUCCCAGAUCUUCAGCGAGGGCGGCCUGGACUACCUGGGCAACCCCAGCCUGAUCCACGCGCAGAGCAUCCUCGCCAUCUGGGCCGUCCAGGUCGUGCUCAUGGGCGCCGUCGAGGGCUACCGCAUUGCCGGCGGGCCGCUCGGCGAGGUCGUCGACCCGCUCUACCCAGGCGGCAGCUUCGACCCCCUCGGCCUGGCCGACGAUCCCGAGGCCUUCGCCGAGCUCAAGGUGAAGGAGCUCAAGAACGGCCGCCUCGCCAUGUUCUCCAUGUUCGGCUUCUUCGUCCAGGCCAUCGUCACCGGCAAGGGCCCGCUCGAGAACCUCGCUGACCACCUGGCUGACCCAGUCAACAACAACGCCUGGGCCUACGCCACCAACUUCGUCCCCGGCAACUAAGCUCAUCAGCUGCUCAGUUGGCUAUGCAACUCCAUUGUCUUUUCGGAGAGGGCGUACGUGGAUUGAUUGAUGCUGCAAGUUAGCUGCAUGUGUGUCUCUUGUUUCACGUUGCAUUUCAGGGGGCAAGUCGAGAUGAUGAUGAGUUGGCGUUGUACACUAAGACGAACGAUGCUUGUGCAAUAGUAGUUGUGGUUUUGUUUCCCGGUGGUUAAUUAUUGAUUUGUCAGAUUAAGGUCAUCCAUUAAUUUGUUCGUCUGCGAUGCUUUCUGCUGUUUUUAUAGUACUUCCUAGCUCUAGGAAUUUUGCAAGCAUAAGUGCUUGGAUAAACAGAAACUAUCGAUGAAAAUGAAAGAUAUACACAUGAAUGCAAUGCUUAAAUUCACACAAUAAGCAACUGUUCAUAAUUAACUCAUGACCCUGUCAUGCCCCUUGUCCCCUUCUUUGAGAUCACCUGUGUAACCUCUAACUUAAUGCGAAUGCUCAGGGGGGUACAUGCUAUAUUCUCUCCCAAUUCGAGUUUUUUUUUCCCACAAGAUACAAACAACAUCAUAACCUGUUCCUACCAUCGUUUUGUUGGAUUGUGUCCACCCAACCGAGGCCAGCAAGCCGCCACCUGUUGGCAGUUGGCACCGAUGAAACCAGCACUGCUCUAUCAUCUCCAGUAGACCAGCACUAUAAGGUCCCUUUGGAAUAUGUGUUUUUUUAUGAAACAUUUAUCAUGAAAAUGCACUUAUUUCUUUGAAAUCUCUAUACAAUUUUGUGUCUCAAAUGAUCUCGUGUCACAAUGUUCUAGUGUGUACCAUGUAUGUGCCAUGUUACCUGUGGUUAGAACCUUUAACUCUUUGUCUCUCAUGAACAACACGAUAGAUACAUGUAAAAAGAAUAAAUGAUACAAUGUCAGAGGAAUUAUUCUUUGAUUGUUGAGAAUUACAAUGUGAAGCUCCCAGGUAUAUAUGGGGCUUGUUUGGAUAUUAUUUUCAUAGUGAAAUUCUGAUUCUAGAUAUAUAGAAUCUGGAUACAAAUGAUGGGUGUUUUGAAUCUUAUUCUUAUAGUGAUUAUUGCAUUUAGUGAAAAUCUCUGAAUACUAGGUUUAGGGUAGAUAGUUGGAUUCUAAAAUACAAGUGUUUAGAUCAUAUUCUCAUUUUCACCCCAUUCUCCUUUUUAUUAGGAGAUCUAGACAGGGCCAUAAUCCAUACAAAAUCAAAGAGUUUGAUAAAAGCUCACACAGUGGAUAUACUAGAGUCUGUUUGGCAGAGCUCUUAAAGCAACUUCUAGACUGAAUCUAGGAGAAGCUCUGCAAAAUAGUUUCUUAGUGAGAAGUGAUUCUCUGAAAUAAACUUGGAGGCUGAGAGCUAAACAAAGUAGCUUCUCCUAAUUCACUCCACACAUAAAAGCAAUUGUAUGCAUAGAGUUUAUCCUAGAGUUAAAUAAUUCUGAAUUUUACCUAAAUGUAUAUAAAAGCAAUCAAUAUUUAUUAAUGCAUGAUAUGUAUAGAUUAAUUAUAAAAUAUAUAUUUAAAUUAGUUUAUUUGAAGAUAUAAAUUUCGAGAUCUAAAUUUAGAAUUGUUUGAUUUUUCAGAAACGAGAUUUAUAGUUUCUUUUUUCAGAUGGAGCUGAGUAUUUCUUAUUCACAUGCAUCUCUCAUCAGGCCUAUUCACACGCAUGUCUCGUACUCUCGUUAGAGUUCCUGCUUCAGCCGCCACCGCCCAGCCGAGAAAUCCCUACCACAUCGAUCUCCUCCUCUCCAACAUCCAUGGAAGACGAUCACUGUCCUCCCGAUGAUCCGGCGUCCAAGCACGACAUGUUCCCUGCCAAUAUCCUGAUUCCCCCGCCUAUGUACCCCGAGGAUAUUGAUCCCCUUCCGGACUCCAUCCUCUUCGAUCCGAUCGGCUACAUCAGCGACCGUACCAACGGCACCACCGCCGGCGCCUUCACCAAGGGCGGCAGGCGCAUCGAGGUGACCUUCUGGGUGGCCCACCCUCCACGCGCGUCCUACUUCUCCGUCCACAGCCCAGCUGGCCUGGAGAUCGACGACCAUCCCGCGAUCGUCGCCACGGAGAAGGACCUCGCCCUGCUCCGCGUCCCCAUCUGCCAUCCAAACUACAACUCCAACAACUCUACGGGCAGUGACUACUUCGUCUAUGAGGCCGGCACCAAGCCAACGCUCAGGCUCGUCGCCAUGCCCCGCUAUCUCUCCAUCCCGGACAGCAGCGUCGGCCUCCUGCGCUUCCGCCGCCGCGGUAUGUUCUUCAUCACCAUACUGUGCUGGACCUUCACCAUCGGGCAGUACGAUCUACACCUGUACACCUCGGAGACCAACUCAUGGAGCAAGAGAUUGAUGCAUAUUGAUUCACCGGAAGCAGCAAAGAACUACACCUAUGCCAGCAAAAUUAUCUCCAUCGGAGGGGAACAAGGUUCAAUGGCGGGUUUGGUGGCUUGGGUUGAUCUGUGGAAUGGCAUCCUCAUCUGUGACUUACUCCAGGACAGCCAAAUUCUUCAAUACAUCCCAUUGCCGUCGCCGCGUGUGCCCACACUGCGCGGAGGUUCACCUCUGCAUGUUCGAGACAUCAAUGUCGUCGGAGGCUACAUCAUGUACUUCGAGAUGUGCCUCUACGUUGGACUAGACCUAGAGGAAGGUUGGGAGGGAGCUACAUCGAGGAUGAAGGUUUCUCGUACGGAGACAGAGUGGGAGGAGGGCUGCAGGAUCAAAGUUUGCAGUGACCCAACAUCUUCUCGUGUGCCCCCUAAUCUGCAGGAAGGCACUGUACUCAAAGAACCAGUGCUGAAGGGACGGCACGCAGGCUUUCCUGCUAUCAGCUUGCACGAUGACGAUGUUGUUUACAUCAUGGACAAACACAAAUUCCUGGACAAAAAGGCAUCAGUGGUAGCUGUUGAUAUGAAAAACCAGACUGUAAAAGGUGCAGCAGAUUUUGUCUCUGGUGUAUUCUUCGGUCUCACUCAAGUCUACAUUCCAAGUGGAAUUUCCAGAUAUAUGGGUCCUUAACGGUACUAUACUGGGUUAUAAUUGGCUUCGUACCGAGGCGCAACAGGGACCUACUCCCCCUCUGCCCCAAAAAGAAUGGAAGUCUCACUUUGUGAGGAGUACAAAAUCACAAGUUCACGAAUCGAUUUAAAUAUAUGAAUAUUGACACUAUUAUCUAUAAAUAUAGUUAAAUUUAAAAUUGUUUGAGUCUUCGGCAGCAAGAUUUACAUCCUUUUUUAAACGGAGAGAGUGUUUGGUUGCAGUUGAAGGGAAUCCGUUUUUUUUUCUUUUGACAGAAAGGGAAUCCGGUUGAUUAUCAGUCACUGACAGCACGUUGUGGCUGGGCCUGUUUAGAUGCUGCUCUCAUGCUAGGCAACAGAUCCUGGAAUCUCAAAAUCGAUGACCUGGAUUGCUGCCUGAUCAGGCAAGCUUGCCUGGCUAAGCAACCAAACAGGCCGUAGUCCUUCGCAUGCAUCAUAAACGUCUAGCAAGCCAGUCCCACUAGAAAUAACUUGCCAAUUCCCUAUAGAAACAGAGAAAAUAUUCAUUUCUACCGAGCUAGCCUCGGGGGUACCUUAAUAUGUAGAGAGACAAACUCAGACUACUAUUCAGUUAAUUAAACACGCAGACGCUGCGUCCAUAGACCUGUCUCAGCUAGAUAUAAAUGGUAAUGGUACCAAUCACGCCCUACGUCUACGUGAUCGCAGCCUAAUCUGGAUAGAGCCGAGGCAUCAGCACCAACAAAGACUUUGGUCCGCUCCCGUUUUCUUGCCUCACUGUCAAUGAUGUUCUAUGUUAAAAAAGUAAAAGCUGAAACUCACCUGCUGAGAUACUUCAGUCCACCUAUAGAAUUCUAGGGCCGGUUGUUGAGUACAACUCGAGGGCUAUAGGGAAGGAAACAGUCUUCUUUGAUCUGAACUAGCAGUCUCAACUUUGGUUACAUAUAAUAUGAACUUACCGUCUAAUAUCUCGAUCGGUGAAGAAGUCAUCCCAGGGAAGGUCUCCUCGGCAGUGUUCGCGGUGACCUUGCAUGAUAACUGGUAACUGCCCAAACGGCAAUUACUUAGCUUCCCUCUAUUUUAAAUUAAAUUAUAUAAUUCACUUCAAUCUUGACCCAAGUCAAACUUGCCUAACCAAUUUUUUAAGAAAAAAAAAUGUUAGUAUCUAUAAUUUGAAUAAAAAUACUGUUCAAACAUAAUACAUGGAGAUUUUUUAUGAAAUUAAUUAGAUGUUAUAAGCGCGGGUGCAUUUUCUAUAAAAUUGGUCAAAAUUAAAGAGCUUUGAAUUAGAACAAAGCUAAAGUGAAUUAUAAUUUACAACAGAGGGAAUACAUAGUAAAUAGGACUAAAAUUGUUUGUUAGGAUGCCUAACUUUGGACCUCAUUCUCCAAGAGUGAAGUUCUUCAUCUGGCUUCUGCAGAAAAAGGAUCCAGCGUCGUUCUAACCUCCACCGCAAACACAUAGUGGACUCUCCUAUCUGUGAAAUCUGUCAAUGUGAAGAUGAAACUCCAGAGCAUAUCAUCUUCGGAUGUCAUUUCGCUGCUGCGUUCUGGGCAAGGCUUGGCAUAGCAUUGGCCCUGGACUAACCGAUCGGCGACCUUGUUCUAACUGCCAGGCCUGCUGCAAUUCCUGAAGUUUAGUUCCCAAUGUUCUUGGCUGUCUGCUGUUGGCAACUUUGGAAAUGCAGGAACAUAGUUAUUUUCAGGAAUGAAGCUCUCACCCUACAGCAAGUUCUAUCAUCCUGCAAAGCGGAAGCUAACCUGUGGCGAUACAGGUUGCCGGUGGCCUCUAGAGCUUUGAUAGACCAACAGUGCAUUUUCUUUGGUUCUGUAAUGUAGAUUCUAUGAGCCUUCCUUCACCUACAAACAAAAACCCUCUUCCGUGAGGCAUUGUAAAUCAAUCCAUUUGAUGAUGAAUAAAUUCAGGUGGGUGACCGAAACUUUGGACCUCAUUUUUUGCACUGCUCUGGUCUGCAUUAUUAAUUGUUUUGUAAUAAUGAAUAGCCAUAUGCAUUGAUCAAUGCAGAAGCUGGGAUAUCAAUAUAUUCUCUUUUCUAAAAAAAACUAUAUAUUGAGCCAAGCAAACAAGGCCAAGCUGCACUACACAAGCUGACAAGCUUGUGUCAUAGCCAUGCAUCAGCUAAACAUAACAUAUACUACAUACUCAAGUUUAGGAAGCUACAAAGCAGUGUGGUUUCUUCCAGACGAAUGAACCACUUCAUUUUCACAAUUCUAGAUGCAAUGAUGCAUCCAUGCAUCGUAGUACAUAACACAUCAAGCUAAGGUAACAAUCCUAUAAUCCCUAAAAAAUAUAACACCUUGGUAAUUAACAAUCCCUUCGAUGUAUACAUCUCAACAACCAACACAUUUUGACUACUAGAAUGUUUGAACUCAUUACAUACAAGUCCAUGAGAAACCCGGAUUGUUUUGCAUUUUGCGUGCAGACCAAGCAUGCGGUAGGAACUUACACCAUUCCACAUUCAUACUGUAUAUAUGUAGGGGGCGCCUCUGCAAACCUUCUCUACCGUGUGCGUUUAGGUGUAAACCGUUGAAGUCUAUGGCAUUCAUGAGUUCCAUUUCGCUCUACAUUGCAGCUCUCCUCCUAUUCGCAGCCUUGUGCACUUCGGAUGACCGUCUUGUCCCUGACAAGCCGCUGUUGCCCGGCACCACCAUCAUAUCUGAUGGUGGUGAAUUCGCCUUUGGCUUCUUCGCCCCAUCCAAUUCCACUCCAGAGAAGCUCUACCUUGGCAUAUGGUACAACAACAUCCCCCGGUUCACUGUGGUGUGGGUUGCAAACCGGGCAACUCCGGCCAUCUCCUCCUCAACUCCUUCGCUUGUUCUGACCAACAAUUCUAACCUUGUCUUGUCCGAUGCCAACGGCCGUGUUCUGUGGACAACCAACACGACCACUGCUCCGAGGUCGAAUAGUACUACUGGAUUGGUGCUUAUGAACACAGGCAAUCUCGUCCUACGGUCACCAAGCGGCAAGAUUUUAUGGCAGAGCUUUGACCACCCAACUGACACGCUACUCCCUGGCAUGAAGAUAUGGAGGAGCCACAAGACGGAUGAAGGAAACCGGCUUGUUUCUUGGAAGGACCCCGAAGACCCCUCGACGGGUACCUUCUCUUUCGGUGUGGAGACAGACUUGUUCGUGCAACCCUUCAUCUGGAAUGGCUCCCGUCCGCUCUGGCGCAGUUCUGUAUGGACAGGCUACACGAUCUCCAGUCAAGUCUACCAGCUGAACACCAGCAGUUUGAUGUACCUAGCAUAUGUUGACACUGUCGAUGAGAUUUCCAUCGUCUUCACCAUGUCCGAAGGUGCCCCACCUAUGCGGGCUGUGAUGAGCUACUCAGGCAGGAUGGAACUACUUGGUUGGAAUAGGAAUUUAUCAGAUGAUUGGACAGUGCACAUAACAUGGCCGGACAGUAGUGAGUGUAGCAGGUAUGCCUACUGUGGACCCUCUGGUUACUGUGACUACACAGAGGCAACCCCAGCUUGCAAGUGCCUUGAUGGGUUUCAGCCUACGGACGAGGGAGAAUGGAGCAGCGGCAAGUUCUCACAAGGUUGCCGGCGAAAGGACCCACUACGCUGCAGUGAUGGCUUCUUGGCGAUGCCGGGCAUGAAGGUACCUGACAAGUUUGUUCGCAUCAGGAAAAGGACCCUUGUGGAGUGUGUGGCAGAGUGCAGCAGCAAUUGCUCUUGUCUGGCAUAUGCAUAUGCAAACUUGAACAGCAGUGAGUCCAACGCUGAUGUGACAAGGUGCCUGGUGUGGAUUGGAGAUCAGUUAGUUGACACGCAGAAGAUAGGUAUGAUGUCAAGUUAUUUCUUUAACACUGCUGGUGCUGAAGCUGAAGAGACGCUGUAUCUCCGGGUGGCAAAUAUGUCAGGUACCAUUUCAUAUGAGGAGAAUUUCUAAAUCGGAAGUUCCCAUGUGGGUGCGCCCCUCUGAAGCCACCCAAUAUGAAUUGAUUGGAUGGCUAUGGGUGGCAUUCCCCCUUGUGGAAGUGUAUUUUCAACAUGUUAUCUCUUUAAACUCAGUACUUAGGUUUCUUUCCCAAAUCCCAAGUAUGCAGAUACCAUAAACACUAGUCUUAUAUCAAAAUAACAAAACUAUCUAUUAUAUUGUCGACCAGAAUUUCUUGGAAGCUCGGUAAUGUUAAUCUACCUGGUCUAAAGAGCAUGCAUCAGGGUCAUGGCGAGGCAUGUAGUAUGACAGUGGCAACUAAUUUGCACGUACUCACAAUCUACGCACAUUGCAGUAAAAUAUGUGUAGCAAGUACCUGCAAUAGAUGCUGAGCUGAGGUGCACUUUUCUCUCUCAAUGAUUUAGCUAUUGGUACAAUGUUCACUACUACACAUUUUUCAGUGAAAAGGGUACUAUACGUGUAAUGUCAGAACAUUAUUGCACCUGUUUGGCUGUUCGCGGACAGAACUCUGUAGGCAUAUGACAUGAAUUUUCAUUGCAUUUGCAGGUAAAAGGACAAAAACAAAUGCAACAAAAAUCGUGCUACCAAUAUUUAUUAGUGCUAUUCUUCUAACUUCCAUUUUACUUGUAUGGAUCUGCAAGUUCAGAGGUAUGUUUUCUAAUCUACUUCUACAUACUAAUAGCAGUAACUUAAAAACAAAUAGUCACCAACUUUUCGGAGCAGGAAGGGGAAAGGAUGCAGCAAAUCAUACCAAACUAAUGCAUAGGGGUUUGACCACUUCAGAUGAAAUUCGAGAAAGAAACACUUCCCGUGAUUUUGAACUUCCAUUCCUGAAAUUCCAAGAUGUUCUUGUUGCAACAAACAAUUUUUCCCCUACAUUUAUGAUUGGACAAGGAGGUUUUGGCAAAGUUUAUAAGGUAAUUUUCAUUGUAGUUCUUCUUCUUUGUUUUUCCUAGUUUAAUCAUUGAAUCAGGUACACUGCAUGAGUUAUCACAAUCUUACUUUUCUUUGAUAAUCUUAUAUAGGGCGCACUAGAAGGUGGUCAAGAGGUUGCUAUUAAAAGACUUAGUAGGGACUCAGAUCAAGGAAUACAGGAGUUCAGGAAUGAAGUUAUUCUAAUUGCCAAGCUACAACACAGAAACCUAGUUCGACUUCUUGGUUGCUGUGUUGAGGGAGAUGAAAAGCUGCUGAUUUAUGAGUACUUGCCCAAUAGAAGCUUAGAUGCUAUGAUUUUUAGUAUGUUCUAUUGACAUUUACCAGAAGUUUAACAUAAAAUUUAACAAUUAUAUAUUUGCAUUUUUAACAUAUAUGACAAUUGUUGUUUUGCAGACCAGGAAAGAAAUGCAAGACUUGAUUGGCCAAUAAGAUUCAAAAUUAUCAAAGGAGUUGCAAGGGGACUUCUCUACCUCCAUCAUGAUUCCAGACUAACAAUAGUUCACAGAGAUCUCAAAGCCAGCAAUAUUUUACUAGAUGCAGAGAUGAGACCCAAGAUAGCAGACUUCGGAAUGGCAAGAAUCUUUGGUGACAACCAGGAAAAUGCAAAUACGAGACGAAUUGUUGGGACAUAGUAAGUACUAUAUAUUGCAAAUUAAAUAUAAGAUUUACCAAAACCAUGUCCAUAAUUUUUUAAAAUGAAAUGUUCUUACCAGUGGUUACAUGGCUCCUGAGUAUGCAAUGGAGGGCAUUUUCUCUGCGAAAUCUGAUGUCUAUAGCUUUGGUGUGUUAGUAUUGGAGGUUGUAAGUGGCAUAAAGAUAAGCUAUGUGGAUCGCAUACCGAAUUACCCAAACCUAAUAGUCUAUGUAAGCAAAUCUCAUUAUUUCACAGAGUAAAGAGCUUGGAAUAUUUUUUUAUACAAUAUCAACGUGUGAUGUGACUGUUUCAGGCAUGGAGCCUUUGGAAGGAAGGGAAGGCAAAAGAUUUGAUAGAUGAAUGCAUUGAUGAGAACUGCUUACAAGAUGAAGCUUCACUUUGCAUCCAUAUCGGGCUUUUGUGUGUAGAGGAAAACCCUGAAGAUAGGCCAUUCAUGUCUUCUGUUGUGUUCAACUUGGAGAAUGGAUACACAACACCACCAGCGCCAAACCACCCUGCAUAUUUUGCACAGAGAAAUUGUGAUAUGAAGCAAAUGCAAGAGAAUAUUCUGACCUCUAAGAACACAGUGACUCUUACAGUCAUAGAGGGGAGAUAGAGUAAUUGUUUUUAUUUUUAGUCACAAAAUAUUUGUCUAGGUUAAUUCUUGAAGUGUGAAUAUAUAAUUUCUUUUUUUAACGCAAUAUAUAAUUGCUUUUAGCAGUAAUCUGGAGGUGAUACAAGUAUGCCGCUAUCUUUUUCCAACUAGAAUGGUGCAAACGGUUUUGUAUGGAAAACUGAAUGCCUGGUGAUAAUCAAACAGAUAUAUCAAGAAAGAUCCCAUUUAGAUAAUACAGAAAGCAUAAAGUUUGCAAAACAAAAAAUCUACCUAGUAUGGGGGACAGCCAGGCAGGGGAUGCAAUUGUUGAUUAUCACUGACCCAAGGUUGUCAUCGAUCACCUGCAGAAGGCAGCACCAAUCGUGUAAGCAGAUAGCGCUUGCUGCCAUGCAGGGACAAGCGGCUGGUGCCUGCUGGUGUAAACUGGUGCAGGUGCAGGAGUGGCAACGGCUCAGGCAUUCUGCCGAACACAUGGAAGGCGUUCAGCGACCACAAGCGAGGAGGAAGAUUAGCUGAAAGUUGCAGUGGGCACGAAGAGAACGAACGUGGGUACACAGCUUGCUCUCAGUCGCUCAGAUUCUCACCUUCCCUACAUUGGCGUCCGGCGAGCGACGGUCGAACCUUUGAUCUCUGGUCUCUGGAUUGGUCGGAUAUGGUCAUAUCGAGGACAUGCACCGCGGUCCGCGAGGAAUCAGGCGACUAUGCUAGGCGAGAGUGCUCCCAAAUCUGACUGAGCAGCAACUUGCAAGCGUACACGGUCCAACCCGUUACGCAGUGCAAAGUUUGAGGCCCGUAAAGAUUCAGCCCUAGUAGAAGGAAAACAGAAGAAGAAGCCCAUGAAGCAUCUCCGUCUUUUUGAGAGGUAAAAGGAUAUGAAAGCUUUAUUAGAGUUUAGACGAUGAGAAACUGAGAAUAUUUUCCUUUUUUAUUACAAAAAUAAAUAAAUAAAUAAAUAAAUAAAUGAAUGACAGUGAUGUUGCCUCACUCCUUUUAUUUUUUUACUAGAACAUUCAUUUUCUCUACGUAGAAUGGUUAACCGUUGCUAGGCCUUGUUUAGUUCCCAGAAAAUUUUGCAAAAUUUUUCAGAUUUCUUGUCACAUCGAAUCUUUAGACGCAUGCAUGGAGUAUUAAAUAUAGACAAAAAUAAAAACUAAUUACACAGUUUGGUCGAAAUUGACGAGACGAAUCUUUUGAGUCUAAUUAGUCCAUGAUUGGACAAUAUUUGUCAAAUACAAACGAAAAUGCUACAGUGUUGAUUUUGCAGAAUUUUUUGGAACUAAACAAGGCCCUAGUCAAUUAAAAAUGUUGCACCAUAAAGGAGUACCUGCCGAAAGAUGUUCCACCAUGGGGAAUAAUAUUGCCUGCUUAGUCGAUACCUGGCUACAUAGUCGGGUACAGAACUCCAGGUAAUUCUCCGGGUGCAAGUGCAACCCCUGCUAAAUUUUAUCCAACUAAACUUUACUCACUUUAAUAGCUAAAGUUCUGAAUACAAUAACUAAAAAAAAUUAAAAUAGUUUAGUCCUACUAGUCACUAAAAAAUAUCUAAAAUAAUUUUAGCUGACUAAAAUUUAGCAAAAGAAACCAAAUAAGGCCUUAUAACUAAUAACAUCAAAUUUUGGAUACAUCGUCAGCUAAUAGCAUCUACUAAUAUCAGUGGCAUAUAUUUCAUUAACAAGAACAGGAUAGGCAAGUACAACCCACGGUAAUCCAAAGAUUACCAAAACACACCAAGCUCACAGAAAGUUAAGAGUUGAGAUUACAUUAAAACAUGAAAAGUGACUAACUCCGUCAACUCUAAACACGAAGGGUGUCAACAGCUCCCAGAGCUCUGAAACCCCCAGCUAUCCACAAGGACACUUUUUGAAGAAUGGUCUGAAGAAGUGUCAUCGGUUGGCUUGUUUCUAUGUCGAAAGUACGUGCAUUCCGCUCUUUCCAGAAGAUCCAACUGACUAGCAACACAAGUAAAUCAAAACCUCGACGGAUGGUCUUGGGCAAGCGUUUCCUACUGCUGAUUCACCACUCCAUGGUACAUCUCCUAGAUGUUCACCAGAUUCUGUAGCGCGAAAAAAACUAAGGCACAGAAACCAGACUUCCACAAAAGAUGCACGGGAGGCUGUCCUAGAGGCCAUGACGCCACCUUCUUUCUACCGUCCAACAUUUCCUAUGUAAGUUUGACAGGGGGAGAUAGAGUGACUUCAUUUUUAGUCACAAUAUAUUUCAAUAUUUGCCUAGGUUAAUUUUGUAAACAGAUGGUGCUUGCGUUAGCAUUAAUCUGGAAAGUUAAAUAGUGUACUGCUAUCUUUUCUCUACUAGUAUGGCGCACACGCUUUCUUUGAGAAACCAUAUGCAGCCUGAAUGGAAUAAUCUAAACGGAUAGCUCAACAUCCUACUGAGGUAGGGUAUACUUGGCUAAGAGCAAUCACAAUGUGUACCAUAAGAUAGUCCAUAGGAUUAAAAUAUUUGCUAUCAGGUAAAACACUGUUAGACCAGUCUAUAAAAGAGUCCAUAGUAAAAGGUAUCCAUAAGAUUAUGGACUACCCAUAGAGAAUAAAAAAUGUUACUUUUUCUCACUCCUCACUCUCUCUUUCUUGGCUUUGCACAGGAUUGUAAAGAAAAAUAAUUUUUUAUCUUAUAUGGGAUCCACUUUAUGGACUAUUAGUUGUUGACUGAAACAUUGUGAAGACAACAAUAGUUAUUGUUCACUGACACAAAAGCUGCUCA